GAUGAACGCUAGCGGCAGGCUUAAUACAUGCAAGUCGUGGGGCAGCAGGACUGUAGCAAUACAGUUGCUGGCGACCGGCAAACGGGUGCGGAACACGUACGCAGCUUACCCUGAACUGGGGGAUAGCCCGGGGAAACCCGGAUUAAUACCCCGUAAUAUAAUGGAGUGGCAUCACUUUAUUAUUAAAGCUCCGGCGGUUCGGGAUGGGCGUGCGGCUGAUUAGGUAGUUGGUUGAGGUAACGGCUCACCAAGCCUACGAUCAGUAACUGGUGUGAGAGCACGACCAGUCACACGGGCACUGAGACACGGGCCCGACUCCUACGGGAGGCAGCAGUAAGGAAGAUUGGGCAAUGGAGGCAACUCUGACCCAGCCAUGCCGCGUGGAGGAUGAAGGCCCUCUGGGUUGUAAACUUCUUUUAUAGGAGACGAAACCUGUGUAUUCUUACGCAGUUGACGGUACCCUAGGAAUAAGCACCGGCUAACUCCGUG
rnacentral:rRNA from 1 species